GGGCUCACAGCACAUAAACAAAAAUUGGAAUGAUACGGAGAUUAGCAUGGCCCCUGUGCAAGGAUGUCACACAAAUUCGUGAAGUGUUCCAUAUUUUU
rnacentral:snRNA from 1 species